rnacentral:lncRNA from 1 species
CCAAGAUAAGGAAAAGAAAAGCACGGCUGAGGCCCCACCUUCCAGUAAGAACUCAUGCAGAGACCCUCAAACCAGGAAAGCUGGGUUGUUGGAGCAGUUCCUGCUCUACAAGUAUAAAAUGAAACAGCCCAUUACAAAGGAAGAUAUGCUGAAGGUUGUCAACUAAAAAUACCGAAAUCAGUAUGCUGAGAUCCUCAGAAGAACUUCUGAGUGCAUUAAGGUUGCCUUUACGUUAAUAUGAAGGAAGUCAAUUCAACCCAUCACUCAUAUGACCUUGUUAUGACCUUGUAAAGCUAAAAGUUCCCAACAAUGGGAGGGUGUUUGGUGGCAGGGGGUUACCCAAGACUGGUCUCCUGAUAAAUCUUCUGAGUGUGAUCUUCAUAAAGAGCAACUGUGCCAUUGGGGAAGACAUCUGGAAAUUCCUAGAUAUGAUGUGAACAUAUGCUGGGAGGAAGCACUACACUAUGGAGAGCUCAAGAAGCUCAUCACUCAGGAUUUGAUGAGGCUAAAAAGUACCUGGAGUACUGCUCAACAGUGAUCCUGCACGCUAUGAAUUCCUUUGGGAUUUAAGAGCACAUCUUGAAACCAGUAAGAUGAAAGUCCUGAAGUUUUGGCAAAGGUCAGUGAUACUGUCCCUAGUGUCUCCACAUCCCAUUAUGAAGAGGCUUUGUGAGAUGAGGAAGAGAGAGCCCAAGCCAUAGAUGCAGCCAUGCCUGGCGCUACUGCCAAAGCUAGUGCAGUUUCCAGAGCCAUAUG